UAAAUGACAACGUAAUAACUUUGUAUAGCAUACAUUAUACGAAGUUAUACGAAGACUGCACGUUUUUGGUGUCUCUCUUAUCUGACACACACAUUUGAGGUCUUGGAGUCUUCACUAAUGAGCUGAUGAGUUGAAUUGGUUAUGUUUGAAUAGGGAGACAUCUAAGAUGUGCAGUGUUGGGGGUUCUCCAGGACCAGGAUUGGGAACCACUGUCCUAGAAUAUUGCUACAGGCUCUAUACAGUGGAAAACAUUUCACUAUUGUUCUUCAACAGUCCACCAUUGUGCAUUGUUUUUUUUUCUCUCACAAAUGGACUUUACUUUUGUAGCGGCAUUAAAAGACAAAAUUUAAACAGCAUCAGUUAUGUACAAAAGAAGCAAAAAACUAUCAUAAAAAAAAAACAAAAACAAAAUCAAGAGUUAUAUGUUGUUUGGGGACUUGUUGGUAUGAUGCAUAGAUGUGUUCAAAGAUUUCAGAAUAACAGUAGUUUUGCUGUAGGAUCUUGUGUCUUUGUAAUAAUAUUUUAGAACCAAGUACAUUUUUUUUAAAGCGGACCACACACACAGGUGUCUCUCUCUCACACACACACACACACACACAGGUGUCUCUCUCUCACACACACACACACACACACAGGUGUCUCUCUCUCACACACACACACACACACACAGGUGUCUCUCUCUCACACACACACACACACACACAGGUGUCUCUCUCUCACACACACACACACACACACAGGUGUCUCUCUCUCACACACACACACACACACACAGGUGUCUCUCUCUCACACACACACACACACACACAGGUGUCUCUCUCUCACACACACACACACACACACAGGUGUCUCUCUCUCACACACACACACACACACACAGGUGUCUCUCUCUCACACACACACACACACACACAGGUGUCUCUCUCUCACACACACACACACACACACAGGUGUCUCUCUCUCACACACACACACACACACACAGGUGUCUCUCUCUCACACACACACACACACACACAGGUGUCUCUCUCUCACACACACACACACACACACAGGUGUCUCUCUCUCACACACACACACACACACACAGGUGUCUCUCUCUCACACACACACACACACACACAGGUGUCUCUCUCUCACACACACACACACACACACAGGUGUCUCUCUCUCACACACACACACACACACACAGGUGUCUCUCUCUCACACACACACACACACACACAGGUGUCUCUCUCUCACACACACACACACACACACAGGUGUCUCUCUCUCACACACACACACACACACACAGGUGUCUCUCUCUCACACACACACACACACACACAGGUGUCUCUCUCUCACACACACACACACACACACAGGUGUCUCUCUCUCACACACACACACACACACACAGGUGUCUCUCUCUCACACACACACACACACACACAGGUGUCUCUCUCUCACACACACACACACACACACAGGUGUCUCUCUCUCACACACACACACACACACACAGGUGUCUCUCUCUCACACACACACACACACACACAGGUGUCUCUCUCUCACACACACACACACACACACAGGUGUCUCUCUCUCACACACACACACACACACACAGGUGUCUCUCUCUCACACACACACACACACACACAGGUGUCUCUCUCUCACACACACACACACACACACAGGUGUCUCUCUCUCACACACACACACACACACACAGGUGUCUCUCUCUCACACACACACACACACACACAGGUGUCUCUCUCUCACACACACACACACACACACAGGUGUCUCUCUCUCACACACACACACACACACACAGGUGUCUCUCUCUCACACACACACACACACACACAGGUGUCUCUCUCUCACACACACACACACACACACAGGUGUCUCUCUCUCACACACACACACACACACACAGGUGUCUCUCUCUCACACACACACACACACACACAGGUGUCUCUCUCUCACACACACACACACACACACAGGUGUCUCUCUCUCACACACACACACACACACACAGGUGUCUCUCUCUCACACACACACACACACACACAGGUGUCUCUCUCUCACACACACACACACACACACAGGUGUCUCUCUCUCACACACACACACACACACACAGGUGUCUCUCUCUCACACACACACACACACACACAGGUGUCUCUCUCUCACACACACACACACACACACAGGUGUCUCUCUCUCACACACACACACACACACACAGGUGUCUCUCUCUCACACACACACACACACACACAGGUGUCUCUCUCUCACACACACACACACACACACAGGUGUCUCUCUCUCACACACACACACACACACACAGGUGUCUCUCUCUCACACACACACACACACACACAGGUGUCUCUCUCUCACACACACACACACACACACAGGUGUCUCUCUCUCACACACACACACACACACACAGGUGUCUCUCUCUCACACACACACACACACACACAGGUGUCUCUCUCUCACACACACACACACACACACAGGUGUCUCUCUCUCACACACACACACACACACACAGGUGUCUCUCUCUCACACACACACACACACACACAGGUGUCUCUCUCUCACACACACACACACACACACAGGUGUCUCUCUCUCACACACACACACACACACACAGGUGUCUCUCUCUCACACACACACACACACACACAGGUGUCUCUCUCUCACACACACACACACACACACAGGUGUCUCUCUCUCACACACACACACACACACACAGGUGUCUCUCUCUCACACACACACACACACACACAGGUGUCUCUCUCUCACACACACACACACACACACAGGUGUCUCUCUCUCACACACACACACACACACACAGGUGUCUCUCUCUCACACACACACACACACACACAGGUGUCUCUCUCUCACACACACACACACACACACAGGUGUCUCUCUCUCACACACACACACACACACACAGGUGUCUCUCUCUCACACACACACACACACACACAGGUGUCUCUCUCUCACACACACACACACACACACAGGUGUCUCUCUCUCACACACACACACACACACACAGGUGUCUCUCUCUCACACACACACACACACACACAGGUGUCUCUCUCUCACACACACACACACACACACAGGUGUCUCUCUCUCACACACACACACACACACACAGGUGUCUCUCUCUCACACACACACACACACACACAGGUGUCUCUCUCUCACACACACACACACACACACAGGUGUCUCUCUCUCACACACACACACACACACACAGGUGUCUCUCUCUCACACACACACACACACACACAGGUGUCUCUCUCUCACACACACACACACACACACAGGUGUCUCUCUCUCACACACACACACACACACACAGGUGUCUCUCUCUCACACACACACACACACACACAGGUGUCUCUCUCUCACACACACACACACACACACAGGUGUCUCUCUCUCACACACACACACACACACACAGGUGUCUCUCUCUCACACACACACACACACACACAGGUGUCUCUCUCUCACACACACACACACACACAAAACUAAAUAUAAACUAAAAUAAAUGUCAAACAAAAUCCUAAGCAAACCCAAACUAAAACACAAAACAAACCAUGUCCAGACCAAAACAAAACAGUCAAACAAAAACAAAACUUAAAGGAGCAUUGCGUAGGUUCUGAAAUUUCUAACCGUUACUGACACCAGUGGCCGUUAGAGGAACUGCAGCCAGUCUCAUGCUCGUUCUCAGUGCGCACGCUCUCUCUUUUUGCCACACUAGAUUACUUUUUUUU
rnacentral:lncRNA from 1 species